CACGACUCACAUAUAUAUUUGAAUAUUACACAUAAAAAACUGUGUAUGAAAACUAUACGCAGCCUGUAUUGGAGCAUGUAGGCAAUCUUAAACGUGUGGGGCAGCACAGCAGGGUGGAUAUUGUUGAGGCUUUGUACUGAGGGGGCCAUUUCACAUUGAAAGGAAAACAGCUCACGAGAGGCUUUACAGCUGCUUUGGAGAUAUAAAUCUCUCUCUCUCGCUUUCUUUCUUGUUUUACUCGUACUUCAUCACGUGCAGUUCUGCAGACACCUGGCUCAAAGCCAGACCUCAGAGAAAUGUAUAUGUAACCGGAUCCGCUUUACAUGUAAAUACAUCUGUAAGUGUGCACACAUACUAAACCUCUGGAUAGAGAACGGUCUCUCUGGCUGACCUGGGGUCAGAUUUCACAUGUCUGUCAGGGUCGGUCAUAUAUGUGUCCAUUGGUCCAGGUAAACACAGACUCAGUCUCUCCAUCUGGUUCCAGUAAAGCUGACGCCUGCACUGUACAGUGAAUGAUUACACAUUCCCCUAAGGGCAGUGGUCCAAACACAACCUGAAGGAGACCCAAAACAUGACGUAAGGCACAUGGUUGCAAUCAGAUCUUUUGGGCAAGACCUCUUCGGACUCGUUUUCCCAGAGGAAAUCAGCUUACAGCAUCCUUUAAGAAAUCUAACCCCAGUCGGGAUGGAAAUGAACAGGAAGCGAAUUUCAUCUUGUGGAAACCUUUGGAUGCAUCACUGUACAACCAUGUUGAGCAAUCAUCAACAUCAUCAUUAUCAUCAUCAUCAUAACUGCCGUGCUACAAUAGAUCCCAGCAGGGGACAUUGCAGGAUGAAUAUAAAACCUCUAACUUUCUUCAAAUGCAAAUCUAUAACAAUGUAAACCUUUUCAUUAGAUGUUUGUGUUAUUUUAUUCUCGCCAUGUCCAUAAAUUUACAUAAAACACAUAAAAAACCUAUCUUGCUUCAACAAAAGAUUUAUUUUGCAUGGGAGAUGCAAAUGGUCCUAAAGUAGAUUUCAGUAUACUGCUAACUUUUGAUUUUGGGUUGAAAUAUGAUCCAGACAGAUUCUCACAUAUAAUUUAGCACAAAUCACAUAUUGAAU